rnacentral:lncRNA from 1 species
CUCUUCCUUUCAAAGGAUGGCAUUUUAAUGUUGCUUUGCUGCCAGAUGUUCAUCUGCUUGCUGUGAAGUGAUUCUUUUUUUAAAAUGUUUUUUAAUGAUGUAAGUUUUCUAAAAGGCAGGGCUGAAUGGAGAACCAAGAAUUUGCUUGGUAGAAAAAUUAUUUUUUUUUAAUUUCAGACUUAUCAAAAAUUUGGUUGAGGGAAUUUUUAUUAGCUGCCCUGACUUUAUAAUGCUACGCUCUUAACAGUGCCAAAAAUCCUACAUAGUUACUGACAAAUGUGUGAUCUUUUUACAGUCACAACACCUGCUGCCCGGAAAGCACACCGUCCACGUAGAAUGGAGAAGGCAGAAAGUUACCGUGUGUUCCCACUGUAUCUGCACUGUUCUUACUUCCUCUUGUCCCUUUUCAUAUCUUGGUCUAUUCAGCCUUAACAUUUCAAAGGCUUAUAGUAAAAUAGGAACUGAAGAUCUGUAUCAAAAUGUAACACUUUCAUCCUUUGGAAUAAUUGAAGUUUAACAUAACCUCUACAUGUAUAUAAGUUAGCUGGUGAAAAUGUGGCAUGAAACUUCACAAUUGUGCUUCAGGCCUAAGUGACUGCUACCUAUGAUUUAAGUGACAGUAAAUGUCUUGCUACAUUUUUCUAUUUCAUCCUCUACAAUCAUAUGUCAUGGAAUGGAGCUAUGAAAUGUGCUAACUUGGUAUUCAGGAUUCUCAUUGUGAUAAGGUGAUACAUUAGUUUUACCUUGUUUGAAAUUUUACAAAAAUGCUUACAAUCCAGGCAUUCUUUCUCUACCUAUUAUGAACUACGGUGUGUUAAACAACAGCAGUGGGCUGGGCAGACAACCUUUGGGCAGUCUCAACCUUAAUCCUUGGGUACAGCACCUGAACUUAAUUGAUGAGAAGUGGAACUUAAGUGGUUUCCCUGGUGCUGUUCAUUAUGGAAAUUUUAUGCUGGAUUUAUCGAUGUCAUUCUUAAUCUUUUGAUACUAUAAAGGAGUCUUACCAACUGGAGAAAAUUUGCCUACAUGCUAUAUAUUUGAAUUGUGUCCAAAGCUUUGCAGAAAAGCAAAUCUGAAGUUAUUAUAUAUGUUGUUUUCUUGAGCAACAGUUACACUAGGUAGAAAAGUAUUCACACAAUAAUAGUAAUGCAAAAAAAGUGAGCUACUUGGAAAGUAUCAUCUCUGUUCAGGUAAGUUUACUUCAGUGAACUCUUGUGUGGUUAGCGAUAAGUUUUAAAGUCCAGGAUAGCCUCAUGAGCAUAGGCCUUCCUAUGAAGUAGUGCAAAGGGGGCCGAUUUUAGUGGAUUACCCUAUCAGUGUUCUUCAGUAUGUCCAAUUGUUAUCAUACCAAAAACCUUAAUUACAUAACAUUGUGUGGAUGAAAUGCUGCAUCUUCAGUUAAUACAUGUUUUGAGCACAUUCUUAAAAUACAUAAUAAUUAAAUGAUCCCUAUUCAAAA